CCUACGGGUGGCAGCAGUCGAGAAUCAUUCACAAUGGGGGAGACCCUGAUGGUGCGACGCCGCGUGGGGGAAUGAAGGUCUUCGGAUUGUAAACCCCUGUUAUGUGGGAGCAAAUUAAAAAGAUAGUACCACAAGAGGAAGAGACGGCUAACUCUGUGCCAGCACCCGCGGUAAUACAGAGGUCUCAAGCGUUGUUCGGAAUCACUGGGCGUAAAGGGUGCGUAGGCGGGUUCGUAAGUCGUGUGUGAAAGGCGCGGGCUCAACCCGCGGACGGCACAUGAUACUGCGAGACUAGAGUAAUGGAGGGGUAAGCGGAAUUCGCGGUGUAGCAGUGAAAUGCGUAGAUAUCGAGAGGAACACUCAUGGCGAAGGCGGGUUCCUGGACAUUAACUGACGCUGAGGCACGAAGGCCAGGGGAUCGAAAGGGAUUAGAUACCCCGGUAGUC
rnacentral:rRNA from 1 species